UCCUACAAGAGAGUAUGUGAAUGUCCAACAAGACACUAGUGCCACCGAAGUGUCCAUGCCUGUCCACGUGGCAUACGAUGGCAGGCCAACUGCGAUCGCGGCCAACACCAGCCUCUUAUCAGCAAAUUUGGUUACAUUUUUUUUCUCUCCCUCCCUCUUCACUCUGCGUACAGUUCAAACGCCAUGAGCACUGCUGCUACUGCUGCUUUUCUGUCUCUUCCAAUCUCGCUGUGUGUUCAAGGAGGAUUCAGGGUAUUAGCUGUAAUUGUGGGGGACAGUGGCUUAGUAGAUAAGAAGAAUGGAUGGAGCACACUAUUCAAUCUGGAGGAUCCAAGGUCUAAAGUCCCUCAAUGUAAAGGAAAGUUUUUGGAUGUGAACCAAGCGCUUGAAGUAGCUAAGUAUGAUAUUCAGUACUGUGAUUGGAAGGCUCGACAAUGUGUGCUCACAAUUAUGCUUCUCCAUGAGAAGGUUGUUGAAGUUCUAAACCCUCUGACACAUGAUUACAAGUCCAUUGGCACAAUGAGGAAAGAGCUUGCUGAGUUGCAAGAAGAACUAUCUCUGGCUCAUAAUAAGGUUCAUAUAUCUGAAGCAAGGGUUGCCACUGCUUUGGAUAAACUAACUCACAUGGAAACAUUGGUUAAUGAUAGGCUGUUACAAGAUAGAAACACCUCAGAAUCUGAUCAAAGUUGCUAUUCUCCUUAUACUUCUACGCAAUCGCUGGAUACCAUUAAAGCAAAGUUGCCUCGGAAAAGCUUGAAUGUCUUCGGUCCAGUUCAAUCUUAUCAUCCCCAAUUGAAAAACUUCUGGUAUCCUGUUGCUUUCUCCUCCAAUCUCAAGGAUGAUACAAUGAUUCCAACUGAAUGCUUUGAGGAACCAUGGGUUAUCUUUCGUGGCAAAGAUGGGAAACCUGGAUGUGUCCAGGAUACAUGUGCACAUAGAGUCUAUAGUGACUGAUACAAAUGGAAAAUGUGAGAAAAUGCCAUCUACAAGAUUGCUUAAUGUGAAUAUAAAAUCAGUGCCAUGUUUUGAAAACGAGGGAAUGACUUGGAUUUGGCCUGGUGAUGAGGCUCCAACUGCCAACCUUCCUUCUUUAUUACCUCCUUCAGAAUUUGAAAUUCAUGCUGAGAUUGUUAUGAAACUUCCAAUUGAACAGGGGCUACUUCAGGAUAACCUUUUAGAACUAGCUCAUGCUCCAUUUACCCACUCUUCUACUUUGCCAAGGGAUGGAGUGUUCCCAGCUUGGUGAACUUUUUAACACCUGCAUCUGGCCCCCAAGGAUACUGGGACCCUUAUCCAAUGGAUAUGGAAUUUCGACCUCCAUGUAUGGUGCUAUCAACCGUUGGGAUAUCAAAACCUGGAAAAUUGGAAGGACGGAGUAACAGAUAGUGUUCAACACGUCUUCAUCAUCUUCACGUCUGCUUACCUUCA